UGGGGAAUUUUGGACAAUGGGCGCAAGCCUGAUCCAGCAAUGCCGCGUGCAGGAUGAAGGCCUUCGGGUUGUAAACUGCUUUUGUACGGAGCGAAAAGGUCUGCCCUAAUACGGUGGGCUCAUGACGGUACCGUAAGAAUAAGCACCGGCUAACUACGUGCCAGCAGCCGCGGUAAUACGUAGGGUGCAAGCGUUAAUCGGAAUUACUGGGCGUAAAGCGUGCGCAGGCGGUUAUGCAAGACAGAGGUGAAAUCCCCGGGCUCAACCUGGGACCUGCAUUUGUGACUGUAUAGCUAGAGUACGGUAGAGGGGGAUGGAAUUCCGCGUGUAGCAGUGAAAUGCGUAGAUAUGCGGAGGAACACUGAUGGCGAAGGCAAUCCCCUGGACCUGUACUGACGCUCAUGCACGAAAGCGUGGGGAGCAAACA
rnacentral:rRNA from 1 species